GAUGAAGAACGCAGCGAAAUGCGAUAAGUAGUGUGAAUUGCAGAAUUCAGUGAAUCAUCGAAUCUUUGAACGCACAUUGCGCCCCUUGGUAUUCCAUGGGGCAUGCCUGUUCGAGCGUCAUCUACACCCUCAAGCACUGCUUGGUGAUGGGCGUCUGUCCCGCCUCCGCGCGCGGACUCGCCCCAAAGGCAUUGGCAGCGGUCCUGACCGCCUCUCGCGCAGCACAUUUGCGCUUCUCGAGGCAUCUGAGGCCUGCGUCCACGAAGCCCAUCUUUAUUUUUUCGACCUCGGAUCAGGUAGGGAUACCCGCUGAACUUAAGCAUAUCAAUAAGCGGAGGA
rnacentral:misc_RNA from 1 species